AGAGUUUGAUCAUGGCUCAGAAUCAACGCUGGCGGCGCGCUUAACACAUGCAAGUCGAACGAGAAAGGGGAGCAAUCCCUGAGUACAGUGGCGCACGGGUGAGUAACACGUGGAUGAUCUAUCUCUUAGUGGGGAAUAACCCUGGGAAACCGGGGAUAAUACCGCAUAAGCUCGAGAGAGGAAAGCAGCAAUGCGCUGAGAGAGGAGUCCGCGGCCGAUUAGCUAGUUGGCAGGGUAAAAGCCUACCAAGGCAGAGAUCGGUAGCCGGCCUGAGAGGGCACACGGCCACACUGGCACUGAAACACGGGCCAGACUCCUACGGGAGGCAGCAGUGGGGAAUCUUGCACAAUGGGGGAAACCCUGAUGCAGCGACGCCGCGUGAGCGAUGAAGCCCUUCGGGGUGUAAAGCUCUUUCGGCAGGGAAGAUGAUGACGGUACCUGCAGAAGCAGCUGCGGCUAACUACGUGCCAGCAGCCGCGGUAAUACGUAGGCAGCGAGCGUUGUUCGGAGUUACUGGGCGUAAAGGGUGUGUAGGCGGUUGUUUAAGUUUGGUGUGAAAUCUCCCGGCUCAACUGGGAGGGUGCGCCGAAUACUGAAUGACUUGGAGUGCGGGAGAGGAGAGUGGAAUUCCUGGUGUAGCGGUGAAAUGCGUAGAUAUCAGGAGGAACACCGGUGGUGUAGACGGCUCUCUGGACCGUAACUGACGCUGAGACACGAAAGCGUGGGUAGCAAACAGGAUUAGAUACCCCAGUAGUCC
rnacentral:rRNA from 1 species